AUUUUCCCUCCAACAUUAAAAUGUUACCCGGGAAUUAAGUAAAUUUAUUAAAGAACAAAACAAAACAAAACUGGGUCUUAGGGUUAGGACAAUCCCCAAUUCUCCAUUCUUUCAUCGAUCUUUCAAUACGCAAAAAAAAUAGAACGGCUCACAUCUCACAUCUUCAAUACGUAGAUUUUGCUUAAUUCUUAGUGGAUAUUAUGCUUAGUAGAUUUUGCUGAACUCUUGUCUUCGCUAUUACUCCGAGAACUCGUCUAUUUAGACUACUUUACUGAGGUGUUUUCUGUGAAAUUGAUGCUUUACUUGGCAUAUUUUGGUGUGACACUGCUCCGUUGAAGGAAUCGACUAUUGUUGAACGAGGAAUGAGGAAGGCAUUUGGAGUGUAUUGCAGCGGUUCUCAUAUUUCAAUUGAGAAAGUUUUUGUUCUGCAAAAACUUAGCUGGGUCAAUUCUUGAGGGCUUGGAUUGAUUGGCAACUUGAGGAUAAAAUUGGAAGAACAAUAAGAGCGUUGUUCAACAGGAUCACGGUUCUCUUGUGUUAAUGCUUCAACAUGCAUAACUGCCAAAGUGAGAAACCUUUGCAUAUGGAAACAACUUGUGGCUCUCUUCUCUCUGAGAUGCAGAAAAUAUGGGAUGAGAUGGGAGAGCCAGAUAUCGAAAGAGAGAGCUUUUUGAACUUCAACAAAAGUGCCUGGAGGUAUAUUGAAGAGAAGUGAAUCAGGCAAGUUGUUCUCGAGCUCAACUGCAGCAAGCUAUUGCAAGCUCUGAAGCAGAACUUGCAAAGAUAUGUACAGCAUUAGGAGAACAAUCAUCAUACUGUAGGCAGGUUAAAGACAAACAGAAAUCUCUCCUUUGGAGCAUUCAAUAAAACUUCAGGAUCUUUUGCUUGGUACGUAGAACUUUUUUAACAUCGGGAGCUUCCUUACAUAGAAGAGUACCAAAAAUUAGAAGGAAGAUCUUGAGGCUAUUAAGCCUCAGCUAGAAGAGAUGAAGAGGAGAAAAAGAGAGGACGAACCAAUAUGCAGCUGUUGUCGACCAGAUUCAGUCUAUCUCUAAAGAGCUUUGUUUACACUUCCAAGAGAAUGCACAAAUGAGUGUAAUUGAUGAGAAUGAUUAGUCUGUCAAAAGAAGGCUUUUUCUGUUUCAUCUCUUUGCUUGCUUCAAUAUCUACAUGUUUUAAAUCGAGAUUGCUGUAUUGAAUAAAAGAGAUAAAAAGUUUCAACUUCUUCAAAAUGAGUUCGGUAAACUCUCACUUCACGGACAUAUAAGAACUGCUUAGAAUAGAGGAACAACAAUAUUUCCUCUGCUAUAGAGAAUCUUAAGAGUUACUGUUUGUCUAACAGAAUCUUGUAAAUAUUUUCAGAGUGACCGCCUGAAGAUGCUGGUUGAAUACUUGACAACUAUCAAUUUAUUUAACUAUUUCUAUAAACCUCAGGUACAUAUACUGCUCUUCAGCUGGUGUAUACCUCAAAACUGAUUAUUUACCAUACUUUAAGGUGAUCAUGACUUAAAAGAUGGUGGGAACGAAAUUGAUGAACUAGACCUGACCUAAGAGAUCGAUCACAUUGGCUUCAUGUCACCCUAGCUGUUGGAAAAACUUGUGUAUGUUUUGAUUGAGAUCAAUCACAUUUGAUAGAGUAUACGUAGUUUCAAACAUCUUUUAUUUUUGAACAUUCAAAACUUGUGUAUGUUUUGAAUUUUUUGAAUGGUCAAAAAAUAUUUGGUUUCUUAUUGGUUGACAUUUUGGGAAUUAAUAGUUAUUGGUACUCUUGAUGAUUAA